rnacentral:tRNA from 1 species
UGGCUCAGUGGUUAAGAGCACUGGCUGCUUUUCCAGAGGACCUGGGUUCAAUUCCCAG